rnacentral:SRP_RNA from 1 species
GCUGGGCGUGGUGGUGCGCGCCUGUAAUCCCAGCUACUCGGGAGGCUGAGACAGGAGAAUUGCUUGAAACUGGGAGAUUGAGGUUGCAGUGAGCUGAGAUCGGGCCACUGCACUCCAGCCUGAGUGACAGAGUGAAACUCUGUCUCAA